rnacentral:rRNA from 1 species
UACGUAGGGUGCGAGCGUUGUCCGGAAUUAUUGGGCGUAAAGAGCUCGUAGGCGGUUUGUCGCGUCGGCCGUGAAAUCUCCACGCUUAACGUGGAGCGUGCGGUCGAUACGGGCAGACUUGAGUUCGGCAGGGGAGACUGGAAUUCCUGGUGUAGCGGUGAAAUGCGCAGAUAUCAGGAGGAACACCGGUGGCGAAGGCGGGUCUCUGGGCCGUAACUGACGCUGAGGAGCGAAAGCGUGGGGGAGCGAACAGG